GACGAACGCUGGCGGCGUGCCUAAUACAUGCAAGCCGAGCGGAGUUAUUUUGAAAGCUUGCUUUCAAAAUAACUUAGCGGCGGACGGGUGAGUAACACGUAGGCAACCUGCCCCUUAGACAGGGAUAACUACCGGAAACGGUAGCUAAUACUGGAUAAUUUCUUUUUUCUCCUGAAGAAAGAAUGAAAGACGGAGCAAUCUGUCACUGAGGGAUGGGCCUGCGGCGCAUUAGCUAGUUGGUGGGGUAACGGCCCACCAAGGCGACGAUGCGUAGCCGACCUGAGAGGGUGAACGGCCACACUGGGACUGAGACACGGCCCAGACUCCUACGGGAGGCAGCAGUAGGGAAUCUUCCGCAAUGGACGAAAGUCUGACGGAGCAACGCCGCGUGAGUGAUGAAGGUUUUCGGAUCGUAAAGCUCUGUUGCCAGGGAAGAACGUCCGGUAGAGUAACUGCUAUCGGAGUGACGGUACCUGAGAAGAAAGCCCCGGCUAACUACGUGCCAGCAGCCGCGGUAAUACGUAGGGGGCAAGCGUUGUCCGGAAUUAUUGGGCGUAAAGCGCGCGCAGGCGGUCAUUUAAGUCUGG
rnacentral:rRNA from 1 species